ACUCAGGUGUUGUUGGGUAGGGGAGCGUUCUGUAAGCCUGCGAAGGUGGCCUGUGAGGGUUGCUGGAGGUAUCAGAAGUGCGAAUGCUGACAUAAGUAACGAUAAAGCGGGUGAAAAGCCCGCUCGCCGGAAGACCAAGGGUUCCUGUCCAACGUUAAUCGGGGCAGGGUGAGUCGACCCCUAAGGCGAGGCCGAAAGGCGUAGUCGAUGGGAAACGGGUUAAUAUUCCCGUACUUGGUGUUACUGCGAAGGGGGGACGGAGAAGGCUAUGUUGGCCGGGCGACGGUUGUCCCGGUUUAAGCGUGUAGGUGUGUGUUCCAGGUAAAUCCGGUUCACUUUAACACUGAGGCGUGAUGACGAGGCACUACGGUGCUGAAGCAACAAAUGCCCUGCUUCCAGGAAAAGCCUCUAAGCAUCAGGUAACAUCAAAUCGUACCCCAAACCGACACAGGUGGUCAGGUAGAGAAUACCAAGGCGCUUGAGAGAACUCGGGUGAAGGAACUAGGCAAAAUGGUGCCGUAACUUCGGGAGAAGGCACGCUGACAC
rnacentral:rRNA from 1 species